rnacentral:pre_miRNA from 1 species
UCACCUCCGCAGGCCGCCGGCCCCCACGCUGGGCUGGGCGAGUAUUUCUGCAAAAGGCUCACCCUCAAGAAUGACUAGGAGC